rnacentral:piRNA from 1 species
UCCAAUUAUAAUGAAUCAUUGGUGGAGAA